CCUACGGGGGGCAGCAGUGGGGAAUAUUGGACAAUGGGGGGAACCCUGAUCCAGCCAUGCCGCGUGUGUGAAGAAGGCCCUCGGGUUGGAAAGCACUUUCAGUGAGGAAGAACGCCUGGUGGUUAAUACCCAUCAGGAAAGACAUCACUCACAGAAGAAGCACCGGCUAACUCCGUGCCAGCAGCCGCGGUAAUACGGAGGGUGCGAGCGUUAAUCGGAAUUACUGGGCGUAAAGCGCGCGUAGGUGGCUUGAUAAGCCGGUUGUGAAAGCCCCGGGCUCAACCUGGGAACGGCAUCCGGAACUGUCAAGCUAGAGUGCAGGAGAGGAAGGUAGAAUUCCCGGUGUAGCGGUGAAAUGCGUAGAGAUCGGGAGGAAUACCAGUGUCGAAGGCGGCCUUCUGGACUGACACUGACACUGAGGUGCGAAAGCGUGGGUAGCAAACAGGAUUAGAUACCCGAGUAGUC
rnacentral:rRNA from 1 species